AUUGAACGCUGGCGGCAUGCCUUACACAUGCAAGUCGAACGGUAACAGGUUAAGCUGACGAGUGGCGAACGGGUGAGUAAUGUAUCGGAACGUGCCCAGUCGUGGGGGAUAACGUAGCGAAAGCUACGCUAAUACCGCAUACGAUCUAUGGAUGAAAGCGGGGGAUCGCAAGACCUCGCGCGAUUGGAGCGGCCGAUAUCAGAUUAGGUAGUUGGUGGGGUAAAGGCCCACCAAGCCGACGAUCUGUAGCUGGUCUGAGAGGACGACCAGCCACACUGGGACUGAGACACGGCCCAGACUCCUACGGGAGGCAGCAGUGGGGAAUUUUGGACAAUGGGCGCAAGCCUGAUCCAGCAAUGCCGCGUGCAGGAUGAAGGCCUUCGGGUUGUAACUAGCUUUGUACGGUAACGAAACAGCUCUUUCUAAUACAGAGGGCGAAUGACGGUACCGUAAGAAUAAGACACCGGCUAACUACGUGCAGCAGCCGCGGU
rnacentral:rRNA from 1 species